rnacentral:rRNA from 2 species
UAAGCCGCCUGGUGGAUGGCUCGGCUCGGGCGCCGAAGAAGGGCGUGACAAGCUGCGAUAAGCCCCGGGGAGGCGCAUGUAGCCUUCGAUCCGGGGAUUCCUGAAUGGGGCUUCCUAUCACGGGCUAUUAACCCGUGGUGCUCGGGAAACUUUCAUGGGAGUACCGAGCGGGAACCCCCCCAACGGAAACAUCUUAGUAGGGGGAGGAGAAGAAACCAACAGGGAUCCCCUCAGUAGGGGCGACCGAACGGGGGAGAGCCCAAACUGAACCCGCAGGCGAAGAGUCUGCGGGAAUGUGGGGUUGCAGGACCGGUCGUUCCCCUCGCCGGGGAAGCCGAAGUGAGCUGGAAGGCUCCGCCGUAGAGGGUGACAGCCCCGUAGGCGUAACCCGGAAGGGGUAGACCGGUAUCCUGAGUACCAUGGCUUGGUUUUGCCGUGGGAAGCUGGGAGGCACCAACUUCCAAGGCUAAAUACGUCCCGAGACCGAUAGCGAACUAGUACCGUGAGGGAAAGCUGAAAAGCACCCCGGAAGGGGGGUGAAAAGAGCCUGAAACCAGGCGGCGACCGAGUGGUACGGCCCGAAAGGAGUGAGUCUCCCUGAAGGAAAACCGGGCGACCGGUGAGUACGAGGGGAGAGAACCGGGGUCGUACCUUGCGUCUAGAAACACGAGCCGGGGAGUUCACGGUCGUGGCGAGCUUAAGGGUCUAGAAAACCCGAAGGCGUAGGGAAACCGACUGGCCCGCAGCUCUUCUGGGUGAGGGGCGGGGUCUGAAAGGGCCCGGAGUCACGGCCGUGAGACCAGAAACCGGUGGAGGCCCGCAGGGGUUCUGACGUGCAAUUCGUUCCCAUGACCUCGGCCUAGGGGCAAAAGACCAAUCAAGCUCGGUGAUAGCUGGUUCCCCCCGAAGCGGGUCUCAGCCCGGCCCGCCCGGAGGCGACCGGUGGGGUAGGGCACUGAUUGGGAGGCAGGGGGUCGAAAGACCUCACCUCCCUCUCAAACCACGAAUCUGCCGGUGCCGUAGAAGGGCGGAGGCGGGUUCUCCUGGAUAAGCCAGGAGGCCGAGAGGGGAACAACCCGGACCGGGGUUAAGGCCCCUAAGUGCCGGCUAAAGUGUCAAUCCAGAAGGGUGUCCUCCGCCUUAGACAGCGGGGCCGUAGGCUUAGAAGCAGCCAUCGGCUAAGAAGUGCGUAACAGCUUACCCGCCGAGGCGGAGGGCCCCGAAAAUUACCGGGACUAAGCCGGCCGCCGAGACCCCGGGGCACCCUCUAAUGGAGGGUGAUCCGGUAGGGGGGCGUCCUGGUGGGCUAGAAGCCGGGCCGUGAGGUCCGGUGGACCCGCUAGGAUCGAAAAUCCCGGCGGUAGUAGCAGCGAAGAGGGGUGAGAAUCCCCUCCGCCGAAAGGGCCAGGGUUCCUCGUCAACGGUCGUCGGACGAGGGUUAGCCGGUCCUAAGGCGGCUCCCAACUGGACGCCGCCGAAAGGGAAACGGGUUAAUAUUCCCGUGCCGUGGGGGUACGAUAGCGGCAACGCAAGCCCAGCUCCUGACGCCUCGGGAUAGGGUGAGUAGAGCUGCCGCUCUAUCCAACCGCUGAAGCCCGGGGAGUGCCGUCAUGGCGAGAACCGGGUGAAGGCGGGACGGGCCUGCCGUUGAAGGCGGGUUCGCCUGACUCCCGGGGCCCGUGAAAAGGGAGCUGGGAAGGAGCCCCCACGACCGUACCGAGAACCGACACAGGUGCCUCUGGGUGAGAAGCCCAAGGCGUGUCGGGGUAACCCGGGCUAGGGAACUCGGCAAAUUGGCCCCGUAACUUCGGGAGAAGGGGUGCCUGCGGUCCUGGUCUGAUGACUGGGACCGUAGGUCGCAGUGACAAGGGGGAUCCGACUGUUUAAUAAAAACACAGGUCCCCGCAAGCCCGAAAGGGUGUGUACGGGGGCUGAAUCCUGGCCACUGGCGGUACGUGAAACCCGGGUACAACCGGGCGAAGCGCCGCUAAAGGCCGGGAGUAACUCUGACUCUCUUAAGGUAGCCAAAUGCCUUGCCGGGUAAGUUCCGGCGUGCAUGAAUGGAUCAACGAGGUCCCCACUGUCCCAGCCCGGGACCCGGCGAACCCGCAACCAGGUGCACAGUCCUGGUACCCCCGGUGGGGCGAGAAGACCCCGUGGAGCUUUACCGCAGCCAGUCGUUGGGGUAUGGUCGUGGGUGCGUAGUGUAAGCGGGAGCAAUGAAACAGCUCUUCCGGGAGCUGUGGAUGCGCCAAUGAAACACCGCUCACUCGCGACUGUAUCCCUUACCCGGCGGAUGCCGGGGACAGCGACUGGUGGGCGGUUUGGCUGGGGCGGCACCCCUCUGAAAACGCAUCAGAGGGGCCCUAAGCUCGGCUCAGGCGGGUCAGAACCCCGCCGUAGAGGGCAAGGCCAAAAGCCGGGCUGACUGCGCCCUUGAACGCAAGGGGCGCAGGGGGGAAACCCGGGCCUAGCGAACGCUCGUGUCCCCCUUGGUGGGGGCCGGGCAUGACAGAAAAGUUACCCCGGGAAUAACCGGCUUGUCGCGGGCAAGAGUUCACAUCGACCCCGCGGUUUGGUACCCAGACGUCGUCUCUCCCUAUCCUGGCCGUGCAGCAGCGGCCAAGGGUGGGGCUGCUCGCCCAUUAAAAGGGAACGUGAGAUGGGUUUAGACCGUCGCGAGACAGGUCGGACUCUACCUGCCGGGGGCGCUGGCCGCCUGAGGGGAAGGUCCGCCUAGUACGAGAGGAACGGCGGGCCGCGGCCUCUAGUCUACCGGUUGUCCGGCAGGGCAGCGCCGGGCAGCCACGCCGUAAGGGAUAAGGGCUGAAGGCAUCUAAGCCCGAAGCCCUCCCCGAGACGAGGCGGCCAUUCCCGGUCCGUUGGGGGUCGG